rnacentral:lncRNA from 1 species
UCCAUUGUGCUGACAAAACAAUCAUUGAGCAUGACUUUUUCUGCAAAUAUUUUAACAUUAUUUCUUUGUUAUAAAGGGUCUGCAUGAUACGACCUUGAUUGAUGGAGAAAUGAUUAUAGACACAGUACCAGAUUCAGGACUGAAGAGAAGGUACUUGGCGUAUGAUCUGAUGGCACUUGAUGCAGUGUCCAAAACCAAGGUAAAUAUGGCAUUAAUAUUACACAUAAAGUUUGUUGUUUUUGACUUGCUUGUUUAUCUAUCAGACUAUGUUGUCAGACUUCAAAGUAAAGAAAAGAGAUAUCCUUCUUGAGUUAUUCCUUGAAAGCUGACCGAUAUGUCCACCAUCCAUGUUUUGCUCUUAUCUUCGUCAUAAUCGUCUUUGCUUAGUCACUUUUUUCCUCCAUAUCGGCAGAUGGGACUACAAUGUUCAUGUUACCAUACAAUCCAUAAACUGUAAUGAAGUUUAAAUUAUUUUUUACACUGUAACUUCCAUAUGUGAGCUCUUAUUGUACAUUAGGGUCGUAAAAACACACAUUAUUAUUGCUUGUUGGGAUUAUCUUUGUUGAACUUUGGAAAUUUGUGUAUGCAGUUGCCAUUUUCUGAAAGGUGGAGAAUGCUGGAAGACGAAAUUAUACGGCCACGUUAUCAUGAGAAAAAGCAGUUUGAGAGUGGUGCCAAGAGCAAUCCGUUGUACAAAUAUGACAUGGAAUUAUUUUCGGUAUCAGAUUCUAAAACAUCCGAGUUAUAAAUGUUCAAUUUUCGUGAGUCUUAUGAAGCAAAUUUUCAUUUUUUUUUUAUUAUGUGAUGCUACCAGGUUAGGAGGAAGGAUUUUUGGCUGCUCUCCACAGUAAAAAAGUUGCUUAAGGAGUUUAUUCCAAAACUUUGCCAUGAUGCUGAUGGCCUAAUAUUUCAGGUAAGGUUUGUCUUCUGUUUGUUUACUAAGGAGAUGGUAAAUUUGUCAGCUUGUGGUCUGUAUUCAUGUAUCAUGUUUUUCCAUAGAGGCUGGUGUAAUCUGUGGUCUUUUAAACAAGAUGCAUCUGUUUAACUUUCCGUGGUCAAGAUGCCUCUGUUCGACUUUGUGUUACUUUUUAUUUUGUUGUUCGCACCUAGAAAGUUGAAACGAUUCAUCUGUGGUCUCUUAAACAAGAUGCAUCUGUUAAACUUCUUUCCCGCUUACUAGUGGUUUCAAUAGGAGUUCUUUCAUGUUUGUGUUCACUCAUUUAGUGGUAUACUAGUCUUAGGUAGAACACUUUGUUUUGUAUGUGUAGAAACCUGGACCAAAUUUUAUGGAACAGCUCUCCCUACCUUCACCCUCGAACAUCCUUUGUUAACUAUUUAUUUAUUUCGUGGUUUGUUAACACUUAUUUUCAGAGUUUUUUUUCAACUACAUUUUGCUUUUACUUGGCUGAUAUGCUCCAAUUGUUCUUGCAGGGCUGGGAUGAUCCAUAUGUAACUCGUACUCAUGAAGGUCUUCUAAAGUGGAAAUACCCUGAGAUGAAUUCAGUUGAUUUUUUGUUUGAGGUUCUUAUGACGUUUUUAACUAUCUUGUUUUUAAUGAUAUCAGUCACAAUGAAGAUAUUUUUUGAUAUUGGGGUUUGUUUUGUCAUAUCUAACUGUUGCAGCUUACGAAUGAUAAUCGUCAGCUGGUUUUCCUUUAUGAGAGAGGAAAAAAGAAACUUAUGGACCAUGCUCGGAUAUCGUUUCCAGGUAGCAUGCACUUCAACUUUCACGAUGACUUUAUGUUGUCAGCUUAAGUUGCUGGAAUGAUCUUUUCAACAAAGUUAAACAAAAUUUUAGGUGUAUUAUCCUUUAACAACAUUUCUUUUUCUUAUUCUUUCUCAUGAAUUUCCUUUUUAUGUUAUUCAAAGUAUUCUACUUUAUAUGUUGUAUAUUUACUGCGUAUUGUGUGAAACUCAUGCAGAAGAAAUAGAUCCUCCCUCUGUUGCUGGGAGGAUUGUUGAGUGUUCUUGGAAUAAGGAAGAGCAGUGUUGGGUCUGCAUGCGUAUUCGAGCAGAUAAAUCGACACCAAAUGACAUCAACACAUACCGAAAGGCAUGUUCUCAUAUACUUUAUUACAUCUUUUGCUAAUUUAUUUCCUUCAGAUAUUGCUGCAUGUGAAUCUGGGCUGAUCCUUGUUGAAAAGUCUAUAUAGUUGUUCCAGAAUAUGAAAACACUCGAACUCAUCCAUCAGAGUUAAAACUGGACCUGUGUUGUUCUGUUGGUACUUGAGCAUCAUAUUUUGCCAUUGGGUUCAUUUGGGAUGAGAAAGUAGAACUAUUGCACUAUUCUCAUAAUUUAUUUGCGAUACCCACAGGUGAUGAGGAGCAUCACCGAUAACAUCACUGAGGAGAAGCUUCUUGAAGAGAUUGACGAGAUCAGGCGCCUCCCGAUGUAUGCAGAUAGGAUAGCGCAGGCUCAUGCGAAGAUGGCACAACAUCGGCGGAGAUGAAGAACGCCAGAUUAGAGUGCUAGUCUUGUUGUGAUAGUGCUGGAGAGCUCUCUGACCGCCUCUGGCCAGCGGCUGGUCCCCAUAGCUGUGUAAUUAGUAGAGGUUUCUGUAGGGCCCCUAUGAUGAUGGCUGGCUGGGUCUGGCCAGCCAACUAAUUCUUUGCACCUCCGCAUUUGUGCUUCCUCCCCGCCCACCUGUAUAGGCGUCGCCGCAGAGUAGUUGCAUGUAAAUCGUGUAUUCUAUGUUCUAUAUUCUCUCCUAUGGUUUUAUUUUUCAUGGGUGUAGAAUAGCGUUCAACAAGAGGGAGUGUUUGUUCUAGUCUAGGUAUAUUAGUGUAUGCUUUACCAUCUCUCUUGGUGUUGCCUUGUGCUAGAAUAAAUGUAGGGUGUACUGGGUUGCCAUCUCGUGCUGCGUCAUGUUUUUUCUUUCUGGCGAUAUCAUGUGGUUCAUGCGCAUUAUAGAGAUCAGGAUGCUGCUCUCUGACGUCUUUUGUGCAUCCUAUCCUAUCAUUCUUUUCGGUUGAUUAAAAUAAAUGUGCUUUGGUAAAUACGAAUGACAUACGGGAUGGUGCUUUUUCACCCGCAAGGUUGGCAGCAUGUAUUGUCCGGCGUAGCAUUUGUGCUCCAUGUUUUACCUCUCCGGGGAAGUCGCUGUUGCAAACUCCGGGGAAGUCGCCGCUUGCGCUUGCAACAGCGCCAGCGCAGCAUAUUUAGAGUGAAGUCUAGCGUGGCUGGGUGCUGGCACCUCGUUGGAUGGACUAUCCAACAAAACAGGCCAUUUUCGGCAGAUUGUUUGCACUAGUGUUUGUGUAUUGUUCUGAGUACGGCACUGGGUAACGAUAAUAACUUUGAAUGGCCUCGUAGCAAAUUGCAUCCGUCUCAUCCAAUCAUGGGUUUUGAGUUACUAUUGCAUCUCAUUCAAUCAUGGGGUUUCAGUUUACUAUUGCACCUCAAAUUUGUCUUGCGGCUAGACUUGUUUUGUUCCACCAGUAUCAAUUUAAAACAGCUAGUGCUAGGAUUAAGGACAUAUUUAAUUAAAAAGCUGUCAACUGCAAAAUUUUAGGUCACAUUGAGUGCUACAAUUUUAACAUGAAGAUUGUUUUCUCCGAAAUUAUAUGAAAAGUAUGGUUUCUUCAAAAUCACCAGAGGAUGGACUAAUUUUCGCCAAACCAUAUAGCGAAACUUAGAUAUUUUUGUCGUUUCCAUAUAUGGUUUGGUGAGAACGUAUUUUGUACUUUAAUUUGGUGAUUAUAUUUAUUGCUCAUAUUUCCGUCAAUCCUGAGGUUAGUUUUGUAAUUACUUGAUUCAAUUGUGUCUAAAAAAAUAAAAAAGUAAGUCCUUGACUGAAGUAUUAUAUACAUUGGCAGUUCUUCCCUUGUGUUGUAAUCCCUCCGUCUCAAAUUGUAGGUUGUUUUAACAUUUCUAAGCCUAAAUAUAUAUUAUGUCUAGAUACAUAACAAAAGUUAUGAAUCUAAAAAUACCAAAACGACCUACAAUUUGGGACGGAGGGAGUACCCAUCCAGGGCAUGUGAUGCAUUAUCUAUUUUAUCUUUAAUGGAUGAGCAUAACUAUCAUUUGCCUAAAGAACGAGAAAGAUCCAAGUCUUAUUGGAAAGCAUGGAUUUCUCAAGAAAGGCUUUAUUACUCCCAAAUACGCAUGGACACACCCUUGUUACAACUUGAGCCUCACCAGAGCAAUUUUAUUGUAUAGAGUGCAACAUGAGGUGCUCCAUGCAUUUGCGUCAUGCAAAAAUGAGCCUCGCUAGUCGCUAGUGAGCAUUAUUUCGCAGACUGAAUGAAACCUUUGAUGUCGAAAGCUCCGUCACUAUCAGUUUUUGUGAUCACACCCUGCAAAUCAUUCGAAAAAACCUCAGUCAGCCCUAAGCAUACCAACCAAUAUUCUCUGCAACAUUGGACACAAAGAAACAUUUCAUAAAUGGGAAGAAGCGUACCUUUUCUGUUAUGAUGGCAGUAAUCAGAUUUGCUGGAGUAACAUCGAAAGCUGGGUUCCAGACUGAAAUACCGGAUGCGGCAACUUGCUUUCCAAGACCACCUUCAGAGUUCAGCAACUCCUUUGGUGACCUUUCCUCUAUGACAAUUUCUUCCCCAGAUGGGAGGGUGAGAUCGAUGGAGGUUACUGGCGCUGCCACAUAGAACUGGACACCAUGAUGCUUUGCAGAAAUGGCAAGGUUGUAUGUGCCAAUCUUGUUGGCCGUGUCACCUUGAAAUUUUAUAAAGGAAACACAGUCAACAGUAGAAAUUUUUAGUUUUACAAUGAUUUGAGAAAUGAUGUGGAUAUUUACCAUUUGCUGCUAUACGAUCAGCACCGACAAUAACUGCCUGAACACGCCCUUGUUUCAUCAGUGCAGCAGCAGCAGAAUCUGCUAUCAGUGUUGCAGGUAUUUUCUCAUGAACCAACUCAAAGGCGGUAAGCCUGGAUCCCUGGAAAUUGACACCAAAUCAGCUUAUAGAACAACAUUGAAAAGAUUUAUCCUAAAAAUAGAUGCCGAAAAGGUUGUAAGCAGUUACCCCCAUUGGCACAUAUACGUCCAUUGCCAGAAUAAUUAGUUACCCCUGUUGGAAUGUUUGACUGAACUAAAUUGAUAUUCAGUGAUCUAAUCAUUUGAGUUUAUGCCAGAGAUGUAAUAGCUCUAAACAAAAUGCACAUCUCGGGGCAAAAACUGACAUGUUUAGUUAUAGUUUAAUGGUAAUGUAAUAAAAGAACAUCUACCUGGUUAAAUGGACGAGUUUCAGUGCAAAAUGCCUUCUCUAAAACUCCACCAGAAUGAAGAGCGCGAAUAACCCCAAGAGCAGUUCCGUAACCAGCAGUUGCAAGACUGGAUUAGAGAGAAAGCCAAAUUAAGUAUAAUUGCAUAAGGAAUUUGGGCAUCACACAUAGAAAGGAAAAAAAAGAUGCAUCUCGGGUUAGCAUUUACCUGCCCGUAUUACAAUGGGUUAGAACAGAGAUGUUUUUUGAAUUUCCAAGCUGCUUUUGAAGAAAUUCAGCUCCAUGUGAGCCAAUAGCUUUAUUAUCUGCCACAUCAUCAAUAAGCAUGGUUUCUGCAGCCUCAAUGUAGACCUAAUUGUUGAAAGGAAUAUAAAACAGGUUAGCAAGUAGUCCGCCCAACCCUCACCAAAUAGGAAAGUUUGGGGUUUUUUCCCUCAUUGUUCGAGUGAGUCAUGUGAACCAAUGCAUUGCAUUCUAUAAUAGACAUGUUACAGCUUGAUAAUUUUAAGCCUUUUCUUUUGACUCUAUGGUUCCAUGUGAAAGUUUGAGGGAAAAUUUGAAGUGCCACAGCUCCAAAAAGUGUGGGUCCAUACAAGUAAUUUCUGUUGGAAAUAAUUUCUGUGUGUGUCCAGGUUCACCUAGUGUCUAGGUUCAUUGCUAUUAGUGCUAGCUAGAUUUCAGCUUCUAGUUAAAAGAGAAAAGAGAAUAAUAUGCAGAUCAUGUGGGCAUUGACUGCAUUAAUUAGGAGGGUAUCAUGGGCAUGUUGCAGCCUUGUACCAGCUAUAUAUAUGUGAGAAAAUGACGAAGGCAGUGUGGCCAGCAUCACCAAAAAAGCUACUUUCGCUUGUGUGUGAGUCCACCAUAGAGGAAAACUAGAGUGUCUGUGAUAGACACCUAGAAAGUGAGGGAGUGAUUCCCAACAAUUUCUCGCUUUACAUUGGUGCCAUCUCCUAACGUCACUUCAUCAGGUUGGUUACUUCUAUCUUUAGAUUAAGAAAAUACAAGUUGAAGGACAGAUUAGGUAGACAGUAUUUUUGUUCACCGCAUAAACAGAGUGUAUUCAUAGUGGAUUAUUUCUGCAUGUUUUUAACUAUUCACAAGCAGAAGGAUGUACAAAAAUUUCAUAUCUAACUUGGCACCUGAAAUAUAGCCUUGGCAUCUUUCGCAGUUUCAGCUGUCUUUGACACCAAAGUCUGAAGCUUUGUAGCAGCAUCAGAUAGGUUCACAGCAGUUGGGCGGCUGAUACAGAAAUAUAUAAUAAAAUUAGAUUAGAUAUGCAUGGUAGAAGUAUGCAUCCUGCUAAAAAAAGAUAACUAUGCUUGUCAUACGCAAGUAGGAAAGAGAUCAGUUGAACUAUGCUUACCUGGAUACAAGGUAUUCCAGUUUCUUGGAAACAAAAGAAGCUGCUCCUGCAGGCGUACCAGUGAAAUCUAAACCAGAAACUUCCACAGCUAACGCUAAUGCUGCUGCUAUGGCUAUUGCUGGAGCACCACGGACAACCAUGUCUCUGAUUGCAUUCCUGGAUAACAUUGUGGAGUUUAAGGCCCGGUAUAAUAAAAUAAGCAUUUUUUGAAGGAAUAAUAAAAGAAAGCAUUAUUAACUAAAAAAGGAGAAAAGAUUCACAGGAGUUGGCAUCUAUAAUCUUAUCCUGAGAUAUGCAUCACUGGUUACAUUUCAAUGAGGUAGUAAGCUUGCAACUAGGAGAGCAUAAAACAAGCAUCACUGGUUACAUUUCAAUGAGGCAGUAGGCAUGAAACCAAGAGAGCAUAAAGCAAAAUUACUGGAAUGUACUCUCUAAUUCCAUCAAUGUUUAUUCAGAAGACCAGGACUUUCACUGAUCACAGAUUCAGUAUGAUAGCAUUGUACAGCUCUAUUGAUGAAAUUACCACAAGUAACUCACUUUGAUAAUCACAAAGAAGCAGAAUUCACUUUUGCAUUGUAAGCAUCAGGAGCAUACUUAUCAGUGAUAAUGACCUCCACCAAACUAGUUAAAAUGUACACAAAUUUAUUUGCUAUAGAAGUUACAGUUGCAAAAGAAGAAAAGAAGGGUGAAAAAUGAUCUGGAAUUUGACCAUGGCAAUAACAUUGAUGGAUUUUGACUUCCAGCAACUGCUAAAAUUAAAGGCUGCUCGAGAUAAAAUAUUUACAGACAUGACAUAGAGUCAUAGACACUGAAGAACACAAAUACAUGCAUGACAGAUCGUGCCCGCUGAUGAUUCGUAAACAAACAAAUUCUUGUCUAACGAUGACCAGCAAUUAAAUUCAGAUAGAUUUCAUUACUGUAAACGGAUAUGGGUUCAUUACUUCAUUAUCAUUUCCGGUGACUCAUAUAAUCCCUCCAGUACUUCACACUGUUCAGUUUCUUUAUCAGACAACAUAAAUUGUGCAUCCACAACAAUUUCCUCCUCUACUUUGUCAGGUCACCUAUAGUUCACUUAUCGACUAGUCCAAAGAGUUGAAAAGCCACAAUUUCAAGUGGAAGGCUAAUAACCCAAAAACUCGGAGCUUUAGUAGCAUCCUCCAAUUUAAAAAGGAAACUUUUGGCGUCGACCACUGAAAGUCUCUCAUGCUUCUACAGGACACCACUGAGCUUUUCAGGUUCAGUAAAAUAACAGCAUACAGCGUGCGGAUCUUUUUUAUUUUUUUUAAAAAAAAGAGAUUCCGAACCCGAAACCACCGUCCUCCCCUCCUAACCGUCAGAUACCCAGGCGGGAGGACAGGGCCAGGAUGACGAUAUAACCAGCUAGAACGCGUCUGAUAAAGCAAACAGUUGCUCUGCACAGCACACCCAUGACAAUGAAGAACAAGGAGAUGAACCGAGAAGAGAGGGAAUCCAAGUCUCACCAGCCAUCGGCGGAAUCCUUGACGUCGAUGUAGUCCACCUCGAGCGGCAGCUUCCUCUGCACCGAAUCAACACCAACCCAGAAUGAAUCAAACCCAACCAAGAACUCAUCCUCACUUCACACGAAGCAGAAAGGAAAAAGAAAAGAAAAGAAAAUCGACGGAACAAACAACCGAACCUGAUCGAGGAGGCGGAGCGACCCGCGGGCGUAGACGAUGGACUGCAGCGCGUCGGAUCCCACCAUUCUUGCAAGGGGGAGAAAGGAACCAACCCGGCGUCCGUGAAUUGGGGAAGAGGAAAAAGAUUCGCAGGAGCAGAGCAGGGGGAGGGGAGGCGGCUGGCUUGGCUCGUUCAGUGAGCCCGUGAACUGUUGCCUUGUUCGUUUGCGCGCAUCGGGAUGGCCGGAUGGGGGGCCUGGCGCCCGGGGCCCGGGCUAAAAGAAGGAAAGGAAUGUCUCGCCGCGGUUUUGCACUGAGGCCCUCAUACAGUAUUUUGUUUUACGCGUCGGUCCAUACCGGGCGCGGUCAAACGUAGUCGACGCCGGGCUACGCCGACGCAGCCGUCGUAGGUGUGACGUGGCGGCACGAAACAUGAUGGAUUUGGAUUUGUCUACCGCUUUUUUUUUUCCGUGAUGGAUUUGGAAUCUAAGUCGGCGGCACGAGUCAUGCCAUGCCUGGGAACUAGGCAAUAUGUUGGGGACCUGGAGGGCCAAUAUGCAAAACGCGUACAAAUUACAAAUUCUUCUUAUUUUUUUUUACCUCUUUGCGCUCGUUACCUGUGACUCUGUGAGGCCAGCUCGUUGCCCGUGCUCGUUCGAUCAAUUAUCCGAUUGCAUAGUGACGUGAGAUUGUGGAAGAUGCAUGAACCGGACAGGCAUCAGAACAGAGAGCAUUCUUCUCUAAGUGGAUGGCAUGACACGAGAAGAGCAGAGAAUUGGAUUCGGAUAAUGUCACACAUGCAGGGUGGAAAGAUGAGUUGGAAAGGUGAGGUUUACUGUAACGCGGGUCAUACGUGUUGCUGACCACGUUUCAAUCCACGCACCUCAACUCCAAGGCAGGAACAUUUGCAAAAUUCAGGAUCUAGAUCCAUGAAUGAAUUUGAUGAAGUAUUUCAAGGGAAAUUAAUGUUUUUCAAAACCCACAUAAAGUUCAGUGAGAAUUACCCCACCUCACACGGUUCAUGCUUCGAAAGUCCAAAAUCCUCAUAGAUAGUCUGUUUGGAAUCGAUAUGGUUGGCUUCGGUUCCACCUCAUACAUGUAUCACCCACAAUAGAAGUGAGCUAUUUUUUUUUUCAAAACGACAAAAAAAAUAAAUUGGGAGCGUCUUCUUUGAUCUGAAGCCAUGGUGCUACAACGUGAAAUUGAAACCGACACGAAUCAUGCUAAACAGAUCCUAAAUCGAGGUGAGUAUAACUAAUGUAUUUGCGUGGAGGGUGCUUUAGCACUCUAAAAUCAUGCCACAUUAUCCAUCCCUUCAAAUUGCCACUUAACACCCCAUUGGAAUAAUCACUUCCUUUCUUGAUGCACCUUAUUAAAGUACACGAGUUGUGCUUAUGAACUCUUGGAUCCCAAGUGUUAGCUCAAAACUAUUUUACUUUUGGGAAACUUUUCAAUUUUUGACUCUAGCUCGGUGAGUGACUCGCAAAAACACAUGGUCAAACAUUGGUAUGUCCCGGAUCAUAGUCGAAUAAAUCGGCGCAUUGUGGUUAAGGUUGUAAUAUUUUGAAGAUAAAACGUAAAGCAAAACCACUUGAUUAAUUGUUUACCAUCUCCUUUUCAUUUACUUUUGAAUUUUCCAAAGUUUAUCUUCGACAAAAUUAGGAAUGCGACACCCAUUAUUCUGGCCCCACCUGCCAGGGAUCUUUAUGGCCAGCCUCAUCCUCCAGGCCCACCCGGCAGCCUCCGACGGUCGCACUCACAGUAAUCCCAGCCAGGAAAAUCGAACUGGGUCGCCGCACACAAACAUGGCGGGACCCACCUGUCAGUGGCGCGGAGUUACAACCACUAGCUUACUAAUCCUCCAUUUCCCCCACCCCCCACAUAAACCCCUAAACCCCAGAACUUUCUCCUGCCCCCGCCGCCGCAACCCUAGCCCCCCGCCAUGGCCCUCGCGCUGCGCCUCCGGCGGGCCCUCGCUGCCGCCUCCACCGCGGCGCCCCUCCUCCGCCCGUCCGCCUCCGUCGCCAGGUCCCUCCCGCUCGCGCCUCCCUUCGCCUCCCCGGCGGCGCCGCUCCCGCGGGCGCCGUGGCGGCUCCUCCCCGGCGGCGCCGCCGGGUUUCGGUCGACGGCCGCGGCGGCGGCGCGGGGUGGGGCGGACUACGGGGCGGACGACAGCAAGAUCUCCCCCGACGAGAUCCUCUUCGAGGGCUGCGACUACAACCACUGGCUCAUCACCAUGGAGUUCCCGGACCCCAAGCCAUCCCGCGAGGAGAUGAUCGAGACCUACCUUCAGACCCUCGCCAAGGUCGUCGGGAGGUAUGACGCGCUGCAUAUUCCCCGUUUUCAUUUCGAUUUCGUUACGGAAUGCGUGGCUUCGUUACGGAUUGGGCUUGGUGCCGCGUUGUCUGCGCUGAAUUGGUCCUUAUGGGUGGUCAAAUGUGAUUCUGAAUUGUGCGAUUGCUUCAUCUCGUUGUGCUAUGGCUUGUUGGUGGCAGGGGAUGAGUCGGGUGUUUGAUCUAAAGUGCUGCACAUGUUGGCAUCCUUGCGGUGCUGAAAGGGAACUGAUAGUCCUGUUAUUUUGUUUAGCGCUUAGUAUUUACUAGCUCCAGUUAUAAAUAAGCGACGUGUCGAUGUGUCAGAAUGCUCCAGGUUAAUAUUUUCUUUUGAGGACAGUUAAGAUUGUCAACUUCAUCUUUUACUGGCCAUCAUAUAAAAGAUGAAAUAUUUUUUUUCUCAAACAACAUAGGAGAACUGCGUGUCAAUUUAUAAAAGAUGAUAUGAUAAGUUCAUGUUGAAAAUUUGAGUUUUACUAAUAUGAAAUACAAUAAGGGACCAUGAUUUGCCUUUUAGACCAUGUCAAUUCGCAAGACAUGCUGUUGUGCUUGUGCUGGAGAUCAGAUACUGUAACUGUCAAUGAUGUUAAAGUGUGUUCCAUUCAGAUGAUGGUACUACUAUGAAAAGUAAUACCAUUUACUUCUGGUAUGAUAGGGGAAUUUAAGGAGGUCUUAUUGGACUAAAUUGUGGAGGGUGUACAUUGCACAUGGGUGACUUGAGGGACAAUGUGUACGCAAGUUUUUCCUAGAGUUGCAAUGAACAUACACAUCAGAAGUGGUUACAUGAACAUAUUAGUUUUUGUUAAUGUAGGAUUAAAAAGUUGCCCCAUAGCAUCAAAACAAUCUAACUUUAAUGAACAUACACAUCAGGAGUGGUUACAUGAACAUAUUAGUUUGUGUUAAUGUGGGAUUAAAAAGUUGCCCCAUAGCGUCAAAACAAUCCAACGUCUUUUCCUGUUUACAGUCUUUGACUUCAUUAGUUCAAAUACUACCAGGUUUAGUUUGGGGUCAUAAAAUAGCAUAGGUCCACAUGAGAAUUUAUGUUGAAACCAGAAAGUAUUAUAUAAGGGCCCACCUGAAACUAAUGUGUACUCCCUCUGUCCCAAAUUGUAGGUCGUUUUGGCUUUUCUAGAUAAAUAUCUUUUACUAUGCAUCUACAUAUAGCUUAUGUCUAGAUACAUAGCAAAACCUAUGUAUCUAGAAAAGCCAAAACGACCUACAAUUUGAAACGGAGGGAGUACAUCUGAACUGUUGCAUUGCUCUUUUUUUUAAGGAACGGUUUGCUUUCUGUCAUACCUUGGAAUAGUUAUAGUUAACGGGAAGGGAUGGAUUCCAUUUUGGAGGACUUGUAAUUAUUAUCUUGUUUUUUUUGAAAAUAAAUUUCAGUUAACGAAGAUGUAUGGUCGUCCACUGUCAAACCGUGUACACAGUCUAUGUUCUUGCCUUUGACUCGGUGUUUCUCUAGUUUCUGCAGCCUUAUGCUCAUAUUACUCUGCAUUUUACUAGCUGGAAUCUUUAUGCCAGUGAUCUUUUUUUUGAUUAAUUGUGCCCCCCAUGCAAUAUUGAUUUAAAUUUGAAUUGUCAAAUUAUUUUUUUAGACCCAAGGCCAUUAUUGUAUAUCUUUAGUGGCAUAGCUCUUUACUAAAGUCUUUGACUUGUUGCUGUUAUAAGCGUGUAGUCUUUUGAUAUGAGAUAAAAAAAUAAUUUCAAUCAAUCACCAUUUAUAAUAUGAUUUACCUCAUUUGCUGAGCUUUGAAUUUUUUUAGUUAUGAGGAGGCUAAGAAGAGGAUGUAUGCUUUUAGUACAACAACCUAUAAUGGUUUUCAGGCUGUAAUGACUGAGGAAAUGUCAGAAAAAUUCCGCGGUGAGUGCAUUAUAGCUAAUUAAAUUUCUGUUUUCUUGCAACUGAUAUGAUUAUGACUUGCAUAGUACUUACCCUGCUUGUUUUGGUAUUUGGUCAGGUUUGCCUGGAGUAGUUUUCAUUUUACCUGAUUCAUACCUGUAUCCAGAGACAAAAGAGUACGGAGGUCUGUUCAAUUCUCACUCUUUCUUUAAUUUGCCAGUUAUUAACUUGAAACACCUGAUUUUAUUCUGUGCCUUGUUAGUGAAUUAGUGAUCUUUACAUUUCCUUGAGUUUGUAAUUAUUCCACGAUUUAAUAUUUUACUGUAUCUAGCACAUGAUACUUGUUAGAAAUUCAUUCUGACUAUGUAAUUCUGACUAUGUAUUGAUUUCACCAGGAGACAAAUAUGAAAAUGGUGUCAUCACUCCAAGACAACCGCCUGUUCAUUAUAGCAAACCAUCAAGGACUGACAGGAAUCGUAACUACCGGGAUGGCCCUCCCCAGCAAGGAAAUUACCCGAACCGCCCUCCUCCGCAAGGAGGUUAUCAUAAUAGUCCACCACAGCAAGGAAACUUCCAGACGUACCGCUCGCAGCAAGAUGGAAGAGGCUAUGCCCCACAGCAGAAUUAUGCACAAAGUGGACAAGAUGCUAGAGGUUUUGGGAGGAAUGAUUAUGCAGACCGUUCAGGGUACAAUGGACCACCUGGUGGCUUCCAAGGUCAAGCACCUCAGUACCAAGGGCAUGUAAAUCCAGCUGGUCAAGGUCAAGGUUACAACAACCCCCAAGAGCACAGGAACUUCUCGCAAGGGCAGGGAGGAGGUUUUAGGACUGGUGGCCCUUCAGCACCUGGAUCUUAUGGCCAACCAUCAACACCUGGAUCUUAUGGCCAACCAUCAACACCUGGAUCUUAUGGCCAACCAUCAACACCUGGAAACUAUGGUCAGGCACCUCCAUCAGCGUAUCCCGGCGGUAACAGAGUUCCUGGUGUGAACCCUAGUUAUGAUGGGGACAGCAGAGAGGGGGCAGGACCGGCAUAUGGUGGAGAUAACU